rnacentral:rRNA from 1 species
GACGAACGCUGGCGGCGUGCUUAACACAUGCAAGUCGAACGGAAAGGCCCUGCUUUUGUGGGGUGCUCGAGUGGCGAACGGGUGAGUAACACGUGAGUAACCUGCCCUUGACUUUGGGAUAACUUCAGGAAACUGGGGCUAAUACCGGAUAGGAGCUCCUGCUGCAUGGUGGGGGUUGGAAAGUUUCGGCGGUUGGGGAUGGACUCGCGGCUUAUCAGCUUGUUGGUGGGGUAGUGGCUUACCAAGGCUUUGACGGGUAGCCGGCCUGAGAGGGUGACCGGCCAAAUUGGGACUGAGAUACGGCCCAGACUCCUACGGGAGGCAGCAGUGGGGAAUAUUGCACAAUGGGCGGAAGCCUGAUGCAGCAACGCCGCGGGCGGGGUGACGGCCUUCGGGGUGUAAACCGCUUUCGCCUGUGACGAAGCGGGAGUGACGGUAAUGGGUAAAGAAGCAACGGCUAAAUACGUG